UGUGUAUAUAAUGCAGUGUGUUUGUGUAGUGUGUUUAUAUAAUUCACACUACACAAACACACUGCAUUAUAUACACAC